AUGGAUCCCAUGCAGCGACCCAAAAAAACGACUCCGAAAAAGAGGGAAACGAGGCGGUCUUCUGGUCAGACUCCGGAGACGGGCACAUCCUGCACCACUCCCUAGCAUUCUUCUCACCAAUGUCCAGUCUCUUGACAACAAGGUUGAUGAAAUCCGAGCAAGGGUAGCAUUCCAGAGGGACAUCAGAGACUGUAACGUUCUUUGCUUCACGGAAACAUGGCUCACUGGAGAGACGCCAUCGGAGUCGGUGCAGCCAGCUGGUUUCUCCACGCAUCGCGCAGACAGAAACAAACAUCUUUCUGGUCGUUUGAUGGAAGAAUAACAAAGAUCUCAGGGGCUCCCACCAUUUCCAGACAGCUGUCACAGCAGCCCAUGCCAAGACGGAUCCAAACCCACCAAUCCUAGCAGGCUAGCCAGCACAGCUCUGUGUUUGUGCCUGAGCAGCCCAGUUCAACAGCAGUAUGAGCCAACUCUGUCUCCUGCCUGGCUGGGGAACAGUGGCCCCCUCCGCCCCCACUGUCUUUAAGGUGCCCCCCAAACCUCUGACAGAUGUACCCGUUUAACACCCCCCAGGAGAGGGAGAGGGAGAGGGAGAGGGAGAGGGAGAGAGAGGAUGGGAAGCAGCAGCAUGCUUGCUUGUGUGAUGGUGGGUUGAGGGUGCCCAUCUUGUGAUGCACUCUCAAUAUAAACUGGAAGAUUAGUGUGCGAGGAACUAGAGCAGUGUGUUAUUGAUGUUUAUUGGGGCAUACAGUCCUCUGGAAACAUUAGCUUUCAUGCCAAACACUUGUUUAGCUCACAGGUUUCCAAGAUGGAAUGCUCUGAAUGAUUUCACAGUGGAAUGUAUGUAGGUUUAAACACACUAUCAGAUAUUUUGGUAAACAUGCAUGCAAUAAAUGCUUUUCCCAAAUAUUAGAGAUACAUUGAGCUCUUCCAUUUGUAAACUCUUAGUCAACUCCUUAAUUUCUAAUUCACACCUAACUCUGCCCUGGCCUCGUCUCUCAUAUUUCCUACUAGCACAAUGGACUAGAUAGUUCGU